UACAGAGGUCUCAAGCGUUGUUCGGAUUCAUUGGGCGUAAAGGGUGUGUAGGUGGCGCCGUAAGUCGGGUGUGAAAUUUCGGAGCUUAACUCCGAAACUGCAUUCGAUACUGCGGUGCUUGAGGACUGGAGAGGAGACUGGAAUUCAUGGUGUAGCAGUGAAAUGCGCAGAUAUCAGGAAGAACACCCGUGGCGAAGGCGGUUCUCUGGGACGGUACUGACGCUGAGACGCGAAAGCGUGGGGAGCGAACAGG
rnacentral:rRNA from 1 species